AAUCGAAGCAGUGAACUUAAGCCCCAGUAAACGGCGGCCGUAACUAUAACGGUCCUAAGGUAGCGAAAUUCCUUGUCGGGUAAGUUCCGACCCGCACGAAAGGCGUAACGAUUUGGGCACUGUCUCAACAACAGACUCGGUGAAAUUGUAAUUCCGGUGAAGAUGCCGGAUACCUGCGACAGGACGGAAAGACCCCAUGGAGCUUUACUGUAGCUUGACAUUGGGUCUUGGUACUACAUGUACAGGAUAGGUGGGAGGCUUUGAAACCAGGACGCCAGUUUUGGCGGAGCCAUCCUUGGGAUACCACCCUUGUAGUACUGGGACUCUAACCAUAGGCCAUGAAUCUGGUCUUGGGACACUGUCAGGUGGGCAGUUUGACUGGGGCGGUCGCCUCCCAAAAGGUAACGGAGGCGCUCAAAGGUUCUCUCAGUACGGUCGGAAAUCGUACGUAGAGUGUAAAGGCAAAAGAGAGCUUGAUUGCAAGACAUACAGGUCGAGCAAGGAUGAAAAUCGGACUUAGUGAUCCGGUGGUUCUGCGUGGAAGGGCCAUCGCUCAACGGAUAAAAGCUACCCUGGGGAUAACAGGCUUAUCUCCCCCAAGAGUCCACAUCGACGGGGAGGUUUGGCACCUCGAUGUCGGCUCAUCACAUCCUGGGGCUGUAGUAGGUCCCAAGGGUUGGGCUGUUCGCCCAUUAAAGUGGUACGCGAGCUGGGUUCAGAACGUCGUGAGACAGUUCGGUCCCUAUCCGUCGCAGGCGUAGGAAAUUUGAGGAGACCUGUCCUUAGUACGAGAGGACCGGGAUGGACGUACCUCUGGUGUACCAGUUGUUCUGCCAAGGGCAUGGCUGGGUAGCUAUGUACGGAAUGGAUAAGCGCUGAAAGCAUCUAAGCGCGAAGCCAACUUCAAGAUAAGAUUUCCCACCGCAAGGGUAAGACCCCAGAAAGACUAUCUGGUUGAUAGGUCGAAGGUGUAAGUGCAGCAAUGUAUUUAGCUUAUCGAUACUAAUAGGUCGAGGACUUGACCAAU
rnacentral:rRNA from 2 species